CAAGCGCUUUUCAUCGUCGUUCUCACCCGAAACCAAGCCCCAAAAUUCCGUUCAAAUAUAUGGCGAGUGAGCAUCAACCCCUAACCCACGCGUCCCUCUAUCUCUCCCCUUAUCAUUUCUAACGGUCUCUAAUGGAAGAUUCUUCCUACUCGCUCGAAUUGAGCCUUAUCUUUGAUUGGAGGCUUCUGGAAAGGAUUUGCUGGAUGAGUGUGAGGCGUUGGAUUGAUUUCACUCAAUCCAAGCCCCACAUUCAUUAGGAAUUUGUUUCCAAAAACAAGCUCGAUCAAAUUUUGUGGGGGAAGGGGGCUAAAUUUUUUUAGAGAAAACAGGUCGAAAGGUUUUCUGUAAACAAAGGGAUUUUCCGAGUUGAUUUUCUUUGAUGAGGUCAUUUAAAGUUUAAAAAACAUAGAGACAAAUUUUCUUCUUCUUUUGAAUCCGGAUUUGAGUUCCUGGGAGAUACAAAUCGAAGUUCGAGCUGUUUCUACUGUUGUUCUGCUGAGUCGCUACUGAACCUCGAUAGGAUUCGAAAUCAAAAGGUGUAUUGUCGAGAACAUAGUUAUUAAAAGGAUUUGAAAUUUCAGGUUCGAUUUGUUUCUCUUUUGCAUCUCUGUUAUAAUGUAUUUUGAGUAGUGAGAUUUUGUCCAGAAUGAUGUUUGGUUUUCGGCUUGAUUCUUUUGUGGUUGAAGUGCUUCUCAGUGGUGUGAUGUAUUUGAAUAUUUUCAGUUAGUAGAAGUUGGUUUUAAGUGGUCGUUUUCUAUGAUUUAACUGUUAUUGGGAUGUCGAGUUUCAUUUGAGUCAAGGUUUUGUUGAACGAUGUGUUCAACUUCCGUGAUUGCUAAGCGAGCCUGAAACUAUGACGUUUAUGCUCAGGAUGUUUGCUUCCUGGACUUUGAGUGAUUUAUUCCUGAGAAAUAUUUCUUAUUUGCUAGAAGCUUUGAGUUAGAAUCACUCUCUUUACUUGAACAGUUGGUUUUUUUCUUUGUUUCAAAGUGUUAUUGGACAGAAUUUUGGUCAUGUUGUUAAGGGAUGAUC
rnacentral:lncRNA from 1 species